AGUGAACGCUGGCGGUAGGCCUAACACAUGCAAGUCGAACGGCAGCACAGUAAGAGCUUGCUCUUACGGGUGGCGAGUGGCGGACGGGUGAGGAAUACAUCGGAAUCUACUUUUUCGUGGGGGUUAACGUAGGGAAACUUACGCUAAUACCGCAUACGACCUACGGGUGAAAGCAGUGGAUCUUCGGACCUUGCGCGAUUGAAUGAGCCGAUGUCGGAUUAGUUAGUUGGCGGGGUAAAGGCCGACCAAGGCGACGAUCCGUAGCUGGUCUGAGAGAAUGAUCAGCCACACUGGAACUGAAACACGGUCCAGAGUCCUACGAGAGGCAGCAGUGGGGAAUAUUGGACAAUAGGCGCAAGCCUGAUCCAGCCAUACCGCGUGGGAGAAGAAGGCCUUCGGGUUGUAAAGCCCUUUUGUUGGGAGAGAAAAGCAGCAGGUUAAUACCCCGCUGUUCUGACGGUACCAAAAGAAUAAGCACCGGCUAACUACGUG
rnacentral:rRNA from 1 species